rnacentral:lncRNA from 1 species
CGGGGCGGAGGGGAGCCCGCGGCCUGGGUUUCCGCGCGCGCCGAGACCCGGGCGCAGAGCGAGUGCGUCCCCACCAGCCUGGCCGCCGCGGGAACUCGGGGACCGGGAGGGCGGGGGUUAGCGGGAGGAAAGGGGCACCAAGAGGCACCCUGAGAACUCAGAGGACCCAGAGGCUCCCCUCAAGCAAAUUCCCUGCUGACCCUGGACACCCCUUGAAGGAGGGGGCAAGAGGCUGCCACAAGGCUCAUCUUAUAACUCCCAGCAAGGACUCCCAGCAAACAAGUUCAGCUUGGGAUCUGCCCACCACCAAGCCUGGCUGGGAGGUGGGGGGGAGCGAGGGGCGGUGGAGAGGCAGAGUCCCUGAACAGGGAAAAGACAAUCAGUUGUUCCCCUUUCUGGUGUCAGAGGCAAAGAAGCCUGAAGGGCUGGUGGUGGUGCUGGCUCUGGGUUUAUUGACUCUGUGAUCCUGUCCAGCUGUCCUACAGGGAGUUCCAGAGCUCUCCCAAAGUGCAUGAGGAACUGCACAAGUAGGACUGGGGCACAAUACCAGAAGCUAUUUGUCUCCUAGAACCUGGCACCCCCUCCACUUACCUUACAGGAGACCCACAUCACUCAGUUCCCAGGACACCUGGUGGGAGAGUCUGGUGAGAUUUGGAGGCAGACUUCCUCUACUCACAACUUGUUUGAAAAUGGACAUAAAGAGAAGAACAGACACUCCAUCGCCCCUUCAGGGCCUCCUUUGUGUCACAAAACCUAUCCCCUCCUAGGGCACCCUUGACAUUCCCCUAGGUGGGCCUACACAUUGUUCAGAACCUGUCCCCUGUACCAAAAUAAAUAUAAAUGAGUUUGUUUCUUUAAAAGAAAUAUUACAGCUUUAAACUUUUCCCAGCCGGAAUCCACCUAAUUUCAUCAAGGUCUCUCGCUAGCAGCCAUAACCCAGGCCAAAAGGGCUUGUCCCUAGGGAGGCACCAAAGGGAGAAUACCCCAGGCCCAUUUCAUUCCACUGAGGUUUUUGAACCCCUAGGUGUCUAAGGUAAUACCACCACCAUCCCCACCUGUUUUCAGUUCUUUCUUUGUGGCUUAAGAUUGCAUUUUUGGAGGGUUUAUGUAAUGUUGUUCACGUCAGCAAGUCUCCCUGCCCCACCCUCACCCCACUGUCCUAUAUGGAAUUAUAGUUGGAAACCACACACACAUAGAAAAUCUUUGAAGAUUUUUUUCUGCUAUUCUUCCUGACUAGAAGAGUUGACAAGACAUAGACACAUUCAGUUGCAUAAAAUACAGUAGCGUGAUCAGCCUAAA